ensembl:snoRNA U3 Small nucleolar RNA U3
AAAUGUAAACUUUCAGGGAUCAUUCUAUAGUUUGUUACUAGGGAAAUUUCUCUAGAUGUGUAGAACACUGGAAACCAUGAGGAGGAGGCGCAGCAUUCUCUCCUGAGUGUGAAGCCGGCUCUUGGUGGUGUUUCACUGCAACUGUCAUUUGUCACUGAUGAUCAUUCUCUUCCUCUGGGAGAGGGAGAAGACACAGUUUGAGUGGU